AGAACUGACUCCAGCAGCCACAGCGCUCAAACCCCGUCUGUGUUUUCGGUCACGGCUGGUGUGCGCGAGUGAAACCAUUCAACGCGGACUGGUGCAAACUUUAUUUAGUCUCCUUCACGCCAUGGCCGAGGCCCUUUAAGACGUGACAGAUGUCAGGACUUGUGAACUGGUAGCCGGUUUGUUGGAGUGCCAAAACACACCGGAACACGAGGUGACAGCAAGUGACAGGAGCUUUGAUUGACAGGUGAAUCAUUUUGAAUGGACUUGGAUCUUUGUGAUGCUGUUAGAUGGAUGCAGUGAAGCUCCGUGACCAGAAGCUGGUUUUAGAGAUGAAAUGAGCUGGGAUUGGAAGGGAAGUUGCCUUUGAACGGCCGGAGCUGAAAAACACAGAGCAAAAAAAGGAAAACUUAAGAUUGAAUAUGAUGACUUCUGGAACUUCUUGGGAGGCUGUGCUGAGAUUGUGACUCAUCCUUUUGGAGUUCUGCUUGUAUUGAUAUUAAUGUCUAUCACCUCACUAUUUUCACCACAGAACACCUCCAUUUUCUUCUGGCUUCAACCUCCCCUCAUUCAUGCCAGCACUAGUCAUGACAGAAUAAGAGAAGCAUCACUUUAAUUUGAUAUAAUUUUGCUACAAAUGGGGCACAGAAUUUGUUAAAUGUAAGACCACAUACAUUGCCUUCCAUAAUCAGAUUUGUAAAGAUACAUUUUCUUACUAAGUGUGUGAACAGAGCCUCUGUACUGCAUGGUGUACUAGUGUAUUGACUUGCUUGCCUGGAUGUAAGCCAUAUAGAUUUUGCAAUAUUUGUACUGACAAUUCUGAGAAAUUUGAGUUGCCUAAUUAUUUAUUUCAAACUAAUUUAUUCAAGUAAUGAAGAGCAAGGUGUGGGAGGCGUUUUGGGGAGGUGGGUGUGGAUCACAGUAUUAGCAUAACAGAGCAGAUGGACCAUGGGUGUAUUUUAAGACAUAUUAUAUGGACCUGAAAGCAGGCGGCAUGCCUACAAUUUUUUUACAAAUAGCAAAUAUACUAUAGCACACCUUACCACUAAAGACUUAAUUACAAUACAUUUGUCUAUAAAAACAAAUAAGGAAUAAAUAUGAAUGCAAAGACUCUCUGCUCUCUCUACUGUAGAUGUCCUACAGUAAUGUCUUAAAAUUGGUUCCUUAUGAUUCUCAUCAUGAGGAAACUUGUAAGUCUGUGGAAUUCCUUCAGUAAUUGAAAUUAAAUAAAUAGUUAAAUAAGAUUAGCCAGAAUCUUCUUACUGUUGAGUUUGAACCUCAGUGUAUGUUACAUGAUAACACUCUGUAAAGCUGCGUUAUAUAAAAGUUCUCAUCCAUACAAAUCCGGUCACCCAGGAUGAAUAGAAUACCUGCAGGACAAAAUAUGCAGUUGAACUCCAUGAGGACUUUUCUGGUUUCCACUUGCUGUGUGUGUUAUCUCUCUCUAUCUUCCUCUUCUUGUUUUCACUUGCUGUGUGUUACUGUAUCUCGUCUUCUUCUUCUCCUUUCUCACUCCCUCACAAACACCGGACACACCUGGUGUCAGCCUGAGGGCAGCGGAACAAAGCUUUCUACCUCCUACUCUUUUAGAUUAAUUGCCUUAGCUGGGUCCCGCCUUCUCUGAAUCCCACAAAAAACACACACACGCGCACACACACAGACAGACAGACAGACAGAUGCACGCCUGUCAUGUCAUACACACUACCAGCUUGCAGCAAUAACUGUCUUUAUCUGUACAUCUAUAAGUAAUGCUCAUAGUUUUAUGCUUAGCAUUAUCUAAGCCAUUUGCACAUAAUUUGCACAUUUAUUUUAUUGGUACAAUUUACCUUAAUGGUUGCCAGUGUUUGACUAUAAAAUCAGAUUGACCCACUGUUGUCCGAAAGGGUAAAGUCCAGGGCACUUUCACACAGUAGUCGUUGCUAAAUCUUUUAAUGUUUACAUUAAUGUGUAAGAUGAAUGUCUUGCUUGCAUCUCAAUUCAGCUUGGGGCAAUCAGUUAAUACACAUUUGAGUGUCUGUCUUUCAGAACCUUAUAGUGUGAUGAUAAUAAUUCUUGGCUUUCAGUUUGACACAAUCAGUAUAUCAUUGCAGUUGAGGUUGUAAAAUGGAAAUGUAAGGCAAUGGGAACUUAAAUGGAAAUGUUAUCUACCUAAUUUGCUCAUUUAAUGCAGGAUAUUCAGUACAUAUUUACAUCUAAACAUACUUCCAUUGUUUUUAUAUUUGUAUUUGUAUUUAAGUCGAUAAAUUAGAGAAUAGACAAAGUCAGAUUAUUUGACAGUAGAUGAUGCUAGAAAAUGUGUAGGAUGUGAUGUUCCUGUGCCACUGUGUUGAAGCUUUGAUGUUUUUGAUACCACUGGAGACUGGAGAGAGUAACUUUUAAAGCUAACAAUAUUGUUUAAAAAUCUACUAACCUGUGUCGAAAGUAUACUUUUGGCUAGUUUGUCUAGGGUCUUUGAAAAUGAAAGGAACCGGACUCUUCUGCCCGAAAUAUUUAAACACAGACCUCUAAAGAUGUUAACAUUAAAACUGUUGUUACUGCUCUGAGACAGUAUGAUUACAGGUGAUUGGACAUGUAAGAUGGGUUGAGAGAAAACUGGCAUGACGCCCAGGGAGCAGUUAGAAAUACAGGAAUAGUAUCAAAUGCGGGCAGUGCCAACUCCCCAACAGGAUGUAACAGUUUGCAGUCUUGCACCACCUUCCUGCAUGAGUAAAAUGUAAUGACUCAGAGCAAUUCAAGCUUUAGUUUAUACUGCAAGUCCAAGUCAGUAAUUAAAAAUGACAGCCGGCGAUUGGAUGUCAGCGUGCCAGUUUGCACAACGACCAUGUACAAAAAAACAUGGUCUCAAAUGACGAUGUACAAAAAUCAUUAAUCUCAUUCAAAGAGAUGAGAUGUAUUGUUCCAGAUUUAGCUACUAGCUAAUUUUAUAUAAUAUUGCUUAUUCUACUGUGCCAAAAACCAUUAAAAAAACACUGUGAGCCAAACUGUUGACAAGUUCCUUCAUUAUGAUGAUCACAAGCAAUGUAGUUUAUUUUGAGUAAAUUUUGAAUGUCCUGGGGCUGUAAAUACUCACUAGACCGCCAACCCUAUAUUAAUCCACAGCUGAAAAUAGUCCCCGACAAAUGCACUUAUUAUUCCUGCUCAAGUAACAUUAUUUAGGAAAUAAAAAAAAAGAAUAAAAAAAAAAAAAGAGUCUUGCCACAGAGAGGGGGUGGGAUGUAGAGAUGUUGGUUCUUGAGGAGGGUCUUUUUUUGUCUUGCCAUGAGGUGUGUUGGUGGUAAGAAAAACACCAGCCUUUAAGCUGUCACUUCUGGCAAAGGUAAGUUACUAACCGAUUAAGUAAUUAGGUAAUGUCUAAACAAAAAUAAUAUAAAUGGAACCCUGUAAUGGAGACUUGUGUGGCUAAAAGUAUAUUAAUAAUGUUACAUUGUGAUUUAUUUUCCUUCUCUGUCCACUAUGUUACACUUAUGUACUAUAGAUGUGUGGGUGUGAGACACAGAAAUAAUGGUUUCCCCCCACUGUCUCCUCUGUUGGUGAGAGAAGAUUGUGUUUCACUCCCCUCACCUCUUCAUGGUGGCUCGUCUUCCUCGUUGCAGCUUUGCUUUGUCCUCAGGAGAGAAUAAAGUUGGCCUAGCCUCUUAGUUCAUCUCUUAUUACCAUAGUAGCCUGAUUAUGGGAGUAUUAUCAUUUAGUGUCCAUAGAAACCACAUCAAAAGAGUUCUUUUACUAAACUGAUUUAGAGUUAAAUAUAUUACACAUAUAAUGUAUAUUGAGUUUUAAUGCUAUGGUGAAGUUAGUGUCAUGAAUACCUCAUGUGUCGGUAUAAAAAUUAUUGAUAUAAAUGGUUAGCAGACGAGUUUAAAAUACAGCGCAGUCUAAGACAAAGACCAUUGUCAGUGUUCAAGAGGUCCUGGUAAAAUGCAAUUCAAAACACUUUUUUUUUUGGUGAGUGGUGCCAUGUUGACUUCAUCAGUGGGGGGAGGCAGCAUGAAUGAAAGGCUUUUCUGUUGACAGUGGAGUGCAUGAAUCAGCAGUGACUCUGCAAUGGAAAAGACAGGAGAGGCAGGCUUUCUAUUCAGUCUGAUGAAUCCUGCUUAAUUAUAAGCUUAUUUAAAAAGACAAAGAGCUAGGAGAACGGAUGAAGAGCUUUAUGUACUAAUAAUGUUUUCGUAAUGAUGUAAUAUGUACAGAUGAUCUUGUAAGUUUUGCGGUAAACUGAUAUCAGCAACCUAAGUUUCAUACAGUUGGACUCUGGGAAUACAUUUUGCAUUGUUUCAGACUUCAAUUUGCAUCAUGUAAGCUUGAUAUGCAAAUGUAGAGUGCAAGGUCACCAUUUUAAGUUGAAUACUCUCACCAUGUCAAGGUGCCAACAAGCAAGGCACUUGAACACCAAUCUCCAGUGGAGCUGCUCAGUGACCAACAUUAAAUAAAUGGUGCUUUAUUAAAAACCCAACCUAAAAACAAUAGCUACCGCAACCAAUGUUAAAUCUGAUGUUCAACCAACCCUUUACCCAAGAGCCCAGUAUCUUUGACUGGUCAUACUGUAAUGAAAGAAGACAGACAUGAAGUGAAGCCAACACACAAAAAAAAGAAAUACAUGCAUCACUCAAACUUUAUUAUGGGCCUGAACUUUAUUACAGCAAACUUAUCAAGGAGUCAGCGGUCGUUAGAGGUAAAGGUACUUUAUUGUCACAUACACAUAGCGAAAUUCAUUCUC